rnacentral:rRNA from 1 species
AGUGAACGCUGGCGGUAGGCCUAACACAUGCAAUUCGAACGGCAGCACAUUAAGAGCUUGCUCUUACGGGUGGCGAGUGGCGGACGGGUGAGGAAUACAUCGGAAUCUACUUUUUCGUGGGGGAUAACGUAGGGAAACUUACGCUAAUACCGCACACGACCUACGGGUGAAAGCAGGGGAUCUUCGGACCUUGCGCGAUUGAAUGAGCCGAUGUCGGAUUAGCUAGUUGGCGGGGUAAAGGCCCACCAAGGCGACGAUCCGUAGCUGGUCUGAGAGGAUGAUCAGCCACACUGGAACUGAGACACGGUCCAGACUCCUACGGGAGGCAGCAGUGGGGAAUAUUGGACAAUGGGCGCAAGCCUGAUCCAGCCAUACCGCGUGGGUGAAGAAGGCCUUCGGGUUGUAAAGCCCUUUUGUUGGGAAAGAAAAGCAGCAGGUUAAUACCCCGCUGUUCUGACGGUACCCAAAGAAUAAGCACCGGCUAACUUCGUG